UACAGAGGUGGCAAGCGUUGUUCGGAAUUACUGGGCGUAAAGUGCGCGUAGGCGGCAUUCUAAGUCAGACGUGAAAGCCCCAGGCUUAAACUGAGAACUGCGUCUGAUACUGGAAGACUUGGAUUCGGGAGAGGGAUGUGGAAUUCCAGGUGUGGCGGUGAAAUGCGUAGAUAUCUAGAGAAACCCAGGUGGCGAAGGCGGCAUCCUGGACCGACAUCGACGCUGAGGCGCGAAAGCUAGGGGAGCAAACGGG
rnacentral:rRNA from 1 species